AUGGAAACGAGGCGGCAGCCCAACCGUCAAGCAGCUGAUCGCUGACACUCAAUGUGGUUUCACUUUUUUUUUUUAGAAAUGGUUUAGCGUCGUCAGAAAAAGUCCGUUAGCAUCUCAAAGGUAAGGCUAAAUACAAGAGGUAACGAUAGACAUGAGCUCUUGUUUAUUAAGUUUGGGCUUUUAAUGUCAUCUUGUGUGUAGAUGCUCUCUCUCUUUCUCUCUCUCUCUCUCUCUCUCUCUCUCCAUAUAUAUCAAUGGAUGAAUGGAAGUAACUUAACCGAAUUAAUUUAACCUUAAAAGUAUCCACUGUUUAAUCCUAAAAUGUGCACUAACGUAACCGGAUAACGUUACAUCACUUACAUAGAGCGUGAAAAUGGACUGAAACCUUCAGGUUUUGAUCUUUCAUGGUAAACACAUAAAUACAAACUUGUUCUGUGAUUUCAGAAGUGCCAGAAAAAAACCUCUAUGACGCAGAAGUUCCUGAUUUUAACAUUUCUGAAGGGAGCUGCUGACAGAGAGGAUGAAAACAUACACAUUUUGAUGUCCACGCUGUAGGAGCAUUACUAAAUAAUGCUUAUGUUCCUAGGUUCUUCCAUGCUGAUGGCUGUGCUCUAGUCAUAUCUCCUGUCGAAGAACAUUUUUAGACAUUAUGAACCAUGAAUAGUAAGCAAUUCGUCAAACAUACACCAUUCAAAAAUGUAAGGGUCAGAUUUGUCAUGUAUUUCAAAGACAUCUUUUAUGCUCACCACUGCUGCAUUUAUUUGAUUAAAAUACAGUUAAAUUGUGAAAUUACCAU